GUAGAAAUGCCUCGAGCAACGUUGAAAUUUAAAGACAAAUUUUUAAUAACCAUAUGAAAUAAGUUAUGGGAUUAAAGUUACAAUUCAGCUCAAUCUAGGGUUUUAGUUUCCUUUUAACUUUCAAUUUCAUUGCACACCUCAAAAUUUCUCGAAUUAACGAUGCAUAUCAAACAUAAAUUCCAAAAACUACCAUGCAUCAAUCCACAAAUUAAUUUCAGAAAUGGUAAAAAAAUUUAAAACCCAAGUGCAAAAUAAAACAAAAAUUCGAAACAAAAAGGAAA
rnacentral:misc_RNA from 1 species